rnacentral:rRNA from 1 species
UACGGGGGGGGCAAGCGUUGUUCGGAAUUACUGGGCGUAAAGGGCUCGUAGGCGGCCAACUAAGUCCGACGUGAAAUCCCCAGGCUUAACCUAGGAACUGCGUCGGAUACUGGAUGGCUUGAAUCCGGGAGAGGGAUGCGGAAUUCCAGGUGUAGCGGUGAAAUGCGUAGAUAUCUGGAGGAACACCGGUGGCGAAGGCGGCAUCCUGGACCGGCAUUGACGCUGAUGAGCGAAAGCCAGGGGAGCAAACGGG